UAGGGAAUCUUCCGCAAUGGACGAAAGUCUGACGGAGCAACGCCGCGUGAGCGAAGAAGGCCUUCGGGUCGUAAAGCUCUGUUGUUAGGGAAGAACAAGUACGAGAGUAACUGCUCGUACCUUGACGGUACCUAACCAGAAAGCCACGGCUAACUACGUGCCAGCAGCCGCGGUAAUACGUAGGUGGCAAGCGUUGUCCGGAAUUAUUGGGCGUAAAGCGCGCGCAGGCGGUCCUUUAAGUCUGAUGUGAAAGCCCACGGCUCAACCGUGGAGGGUCAUUGGAAACUGGGGGACUUGAGUGCAGAAGAGGAGAGUGGAAUUCCACGUGUAGCGGUGAAAUGCGUAGAGAUGUGGAGGAACACCAGUGGCGAAGGCGACUCUCUGGUCUGUAACUGACGCUGAGGCGCGAAAGCGUGGGGAGCAAACAGGAUUAGAUACCCUGGUAGUCCACGCCGUAAACGAUGAGUGCUAAGUGUUAGAGGGUUUCCGCC
rnacentral:rRNA from 1 species